CUGUAGAUUUGCAGAUCUUCUGGAGGAACGGGAGUACUGAAUGAUAGUUACAUUCUUUGCAUGCGCAUGGAGAGGUUUGCUUAAUGAGGCAGACACCUGACUGGGCGACUAAUGCUAGACUGUUGAUACUAACGACCCACUUCCCAUGUGCUGGGCCUGGGUGCACUUCCCUAUCCUAUAUUGUUUUUAUUAUUUAUUAUUAUGCUAAUAUUUGUGAUCGUAUCCGAGGCUUUGGUUGUUUUGUUUCACACGCGGAGGCUUUUCUGGAUAUGUGUUCUGAUGUUCUAGAGACUGUUCUAUUGUUUUAAAUGUGC
rnacentral:lncRNA from 1 species